rnacentral:rRNA from 1 species
UACGUAGGUGGCAAGCGUUUGUCCGGAUUUACUGGGCGUAAAGAGCGCGCAGGCGGUCGAUCAAGUCGCGUGUGAAAGCCCCCGGCUCAACUGGGGAGGUCACGCGAUACUGACCGACUCGAAGGCAGGAGAGGGUAGUGGAAUUCCCGGUGUAGUGGUGAAAUGCGUAGAUAUCGGAGGAACACCAGUGGCGAAGGCGGUUCUCUGGGCAUUACUGACGCUGAGGAGCGAAAGUGUGG